CCUACGGGGGGCAGCAGUGGGGAAUAUUGGACAAUGGGCGAAAGCCUGAUCCAGCCAUGCCGCGUGUGUGAAGAAGGCCUUCGGGUUGUAAAGCACUUUCGGUGGGGAAGAAAGCCUUGGGGCUAAUACCCUCGAGGAAGGACAUCACCCACAGAAGAAGCACCGGCUAACUCCGUGCCAGCAGCCGCGGUAAUACGGAGGGUGCGAGCGUUAAUCGGAAUUACUGGGCGUAAAGCGCGCGUAGGCGGUCUGAUAAGCCGGUUGUGAAAGCCCCGGGCUCAACCUGGGAACGGCAUCCGGAACUGUCAGGCUAGAGUGCAGGAGAGGAAGGUAGAAUUCCCGGUGUAGCGGUGAAAUGCGUAGAGAUCGGGAGGAAUACCAGUGGCGAAGGCGGCCGUCUGGACUGACACUGACGCUGAGGUGCGAAAGCGUGGGUAGCAAACAGGAUUAGAUACCCUAGUAGUC
rnacentral:rRNA from 1 species